rnacentral:rRNA from 1 species
CACGUAGGGCGCAAGCGUUGUCCGGAAUCAUUGGGCGUAAAGAGCUCGUAGGCGGUUUGUCACGUCUGCUGUGAAAACUCGGGGCUUAACCCCGAGCUUGCAGUGGAUACGGGCAGACUAGAGGUAGGUAGGGGAGAAUGGAAUUCCCGGUGUAGCGGUGAAAUGCGCAGAUAUCGGGAGGAACACCGGUGGCGAAGGCGGUUCUCUGGGCCUUACCUGACGCUGAGGAGCGAAAGCGUAGGGAGCGAACAGG